rnacentral:rRNA from 1 species
GGCGGUAUUUUAGUCUAUUCAGAGGAACCUGUUUUGUAAUCGAUAAUCCACGAUGGACCUCACUUAAAUUUGUAUUCAGUUUAUAUACCGUCGUUAUUAGAAUAUUUUAUAAGAAAGAUAAUUUUCAAGAUUUUUAAUGAAAAAUUAUAUCAGAUCAAGGUGUAGCUUAUAUUUAAGUAUAAAUGGGUUACAAUAAAUUUAUUUAAACGAAUAUAAAUUUGAAAAAUUUAUUGAAGGUGGAUUUGAUAGUAAAAUUAUAAAGAUUAAUAAUUUGAUUUUAGCUCUAAAAUAUGCACACAUCGCCCGUCACUCUUAUUAUUAAGGUAAGAUAAGUCGUAACAUAGUAGAUGUACUGGAAAGUGUACCUAGAAUGCAAUUUAAAGCUUAUUUAGUAAAGUAUUUCAUUUACAUUGAAAAGAUUUUUGUGCAAAUCAAUAUAAAUUGAUUUAGUUUUUGUUUAUUAAUUUUUAUUUUGUAGUUUAUAAUUUAUUAAAAGUAUUUAUAAAAUAAUAAUUUUUAGUAUUUGCAAAGAAA